AGAGUUUGAUCCUGGCUCAGGAUGAACGCUAGCUACAGGCUUAACACAUGCAAGUCGAGGGGAAACGACAUCGAAAGCUUGCUUUUGAUGGGCGUCGACCGGCGCACGGGUGAGUAACGCGUAUCCAACCUGCACCACUUGGGGAUAACCUUGCGAAAGUAAGACUAAUACCCAAUGAUAUCUCCAGAAGACAUCUGAAAGAGAUUAAAGAUUUAUCGGUGAUGGAUGGGGAUGCGUCUGAUUAGCUUGUUGGCGGGGUAACGGCCCACCAAGGCGACGAUCAGUAGGGGUUCUGAGAGGAAGGUCCCCCACAUUGGAACUGAGACACGGUCCAAACUCCUACGGGAAGCAGCA
rnacentral:rRNA from 1 species